rnacentral:lncRNA from 1 species
AAAGUUAAACUCAUCUACCUUGACUAAGACAUCCUCAAGCAUUCCACGUGGUUCCUUAAUUGAUCUGUCAGCUAACUGCAAUGUGACUGAUGUGGGUUUCAGUUCUCUGAAUCCAAAAAGUUCAUACACCGAACUAGGUAAAAGAUUCACACUUGCCCCUAAGUCAAGAAGAGCUUUUUCAAUGUGAUAAUCUCCUAUAACACAGGAAAUGAUGGGGGCUCCUGGGUCCUUAAGCUUUGGAGGAGUGGCAUGCUGGAAGACAGAACUAGCCUGUUCAGUGAGGCAUACUUUCUUUGGGAUUUGUGAUCUAGAUUUACAUUUUUGGGUGCACAAAUCUUUUAAAAAUUUGGCAUAAGCAGGGACCUGUUUG